rnacentral:rRNA from 1 species
GGAUCAUUAUUGUACAACGGAGGUGUGAGGGCUGUCGCUGACCUUUCAAAGGUCGUGCACGCCCAAGCACUUUCAUACAAUCCAUCUCACCCCUUUGUGCAUCACCGCGUGGGUCCCCUUUGCGGGAGGGCUCACGUUUUCACACAAAACUCGAUACAGUGUAGAAUGUUCUUUUGCGAUCACACGCAAUCAAUACAACUUUCAACAACGGAUCUCUUGGCUCUCGCAUCGAUGAAGAACGCAGCGAAAUGCGAUACGUAAUGUGAAUUGCAGAAUUCAGUGAAUCAUCGAAUCUUUGAACGCACCUUGCGCCCCUUGGCAUUCCGAGGGGCACACCCGUUUGAGUGUCGUGAAAUCCUCAAAAACCCUUUUCUUGUCAGGAAUGGGAUUUUUGGACUUGGAGGUUCAAUGCUCGCCUUUCACCUUUGAAAGUGAGCUCCUCUCAAAUGAAUUAGUGGGGUCCGCUUUGCUGAUCCUUAACGUGAUAAGAUGCUUCUACGUUUUGGAUCUAGCACUGUCCCUUGGAUGCCUGCUCCUAACUGUCCCACACGGACAAUGAUGGUGCUCUGGUCACCGCCAUUUACAUUGGCGGGAGGCUGGACCCACAAAACAAAAACCUUGACCUCAAAUCGGGUGAGACUACCCGCUGAACUUAAGCAUAU